CAUACUUAGUUUUAGGUAUCUUGACUGGUUCCAGCAUUCACAUAUGCAUAAAUCACAUUUUGAGUUCAUUGUGCCAUUUUGUCAAACGCAUUGUGCAUAUUCAAUUUUCACAUAGGCAUUUCAUCAAACAGAUUUCGUUUUCAUAUUUCUUCAUUGUUUUAGGUAGUUUUAAAGUUCUGAACAUGUUCAAAUACAUAUUUUCACACAUUACAUGCAUUCAUAUAUGAUUUUCAUUCAUUAGAAUCCAUUUUAGAUAUUGAAACCAUUGUAUUCAUAUUCAUAAACCGUGCAUGCUGUCCAGUUUUGGUCAUUACUUAUGGUUCAGGCAUCAUUUCAUUGGCAUUUUAGAACCAUUUUAACAUAGUUUAGAGUAUUAUGUAUUCCUGCAUUCCUACAUACACAAAUCAAAUUUCACAUGCUUAAAUCAUUCUUAUUGGUCACAGAAGCAAGAACAUUGCAGGAACAAGUCAAGUUAUUAAUUACCUUCUGAUAACUCCAUUCUUUCUGAAAAUCCAUCUGGCUCAACAGAAAAGUUUCAGGAUGCUCCUUACAAGAGAGCUACUGACGAACUUCCUAACAUACCAAUUAGGACUCAGGAACAACUGAAUCUUCCCUGCACAAGCAAUCAGCCAGGGGGUGUUGGAGUGAGCAUGGGUGGCAGUGCAAGCAAUAAUGUAUCACUCACACUAGGACUUUAUCAAAAUCAUGGCAUUGGUUUGGCUGAACCUUUUACCCUGAAUGCAGCACAGAGAUUUGGUGUUGCUCUUGAAACCAACAAUGAAGGCUAUGUUAUGAGUGGAUAUGAGUCACAGAAUAGGCAUUUUGGAAGAGAUGUCAUUGGGGGGCAACUGGUGCAUGACUUUGCUGGCUGAAGUUGGUAGAGGGAUUGGAAUGUUGCACUUUAUGGUGAUACUGGCAUUGAUGAAUGAACCUUCCAGUUAGGGGGAGCAGAUUAACAGAUUAACAGGUCUUUCUAUUGAACUCACUUGUAUGAAGAUUGUAAAAUUAUUGUGUAAAUUCAUUUGAGGUUAUUACUGGGAGUAAAUCCAAAUGCUCUUUGCUUUUUAA